UAGUUCACUUCAAUAAUUAUCAUGCUACUAUGGAAACAGUACAGAGAAGAUUCACAUAACCUCUGCACAGGGAUAAUAUAUAAGUGUGGGAGGUUACCCACACUUCU